CAUGUCUUUUUGUGUAUAAUAUAAAGUUUGGUCUGCUCAAUGAUUAUUUAAAUUGCCGCGGUAUUUUAACUGUGCAAAGGUAGCAUAAUAAUUAGUUUUUUAAUUGAUAACUGGAAUGAAUGAUUUGACGAGAAAUUAUCUGUCUCUUUAAAAUUUUUUUUUGAAUUUAACUUUUAAGUUAAAAGGCUUAAAUUUUUCUUAAAGACGAGAAGACCCUAUAGAGUUUAAUUUUAUUGUUAUUUUUAUUUAUUUGGCAUUUAUUUUUUAAUUUAAUAUAUAAUUUUGUUGGGGUGAUUGAAAGAUUAAUUUAACUCUUUUUAUUUAAAUCAUUGAUUUUUGAAUAUUAGGUCUUUAUUUUUUAAUAAAAAAAUAAAUUACCUUAGGGAUAACAGCGUAAUCUUUCUUUAAAGUUCCUAUUAAAAGAUUUGGUUGCGACCUCGAUGUUGGAUUAAAAUUUAGUUUUGGUGAAGUAGCUUAAAUAUUUAGUCUGUUCGACUAUUAAAAUUUUACAUGAUCUGAGU
rnacentral:rRNA from 1 species